UUUCUUCCAGCAAACAUUGCUAAAAGCUGUAAUCUCCAGUUAGAAAACAACCUCGAAGGGAGUUUCUCAGUGGCCUCAUUAGACAAACAAGAGGUGGUAGGACCAAGCCUCCUUCUGAAUGGACCUGCCCAGGAAGAAAAGGGCCAAAAGGUACACAGAAAGCCCCCUGGUGUCUGAUGGCCCGUGGAAUCUGCCAACACCCAGAUUGGAAGAAAGGCACUAAGCACACAAGUGAUGUGCUUUCCUCGGAUGUGUUGCUGGUCAGAUUGCAGAGGUCAAGGUUCUGCAUCCACUUCCGGAGGGAAGAGAUGAGGUCAGCCCCACCCAGCCCACGUGGAGUGAAGAUAGGAGGCCUCUGCAAAGGAAAAUUGGAGUGCAGCUGCCAAACGCAGGGGUGAUCCUGGGCAAGUGAAAAUGAAGUCAUUGUCACCGUCAAAGUGAGUAUUCUCUCUGCCUGUAGACAUGCUCUUAUGCCUUUAAGACACAUUUAAGUUAUUCUUUAUCAAUUAUACACCCCACAACAUCACACACACAUACACAUGCUUAAACCAAUUGUUAUGAUUUGGCUGUGUCCUCACCCAAAUCUCACCUUGAAUUGUAAUAAUCCCUGUAUGUCAAGGGUGGAGGCAGGUAGAGAUAAUUGAAUCAUGCAGGCGGUUCCCCCCGCACUGUUCUUGUGGUAGUGAAUAAGCCUCAGAGAUCUGAUGGUUUUAUAAAGGGGAAUUCCACUGCACAAACUCUCUUUCUUGCUGCCAUGUAAGAAGUGUCUUGCUUCCCCUUCACCUUCUGCCAUGAUUGUGAGGUCUCCCCAGCCAUGUGGAACUGUGAGUCCAUUGAACCUCUUUCCUUUAUAAAUUACCGAGUCGUGGAUAUGUCUUUAUUAACAGUGUGAGAGCAGACUGAUACACCAAUGUUGGGGCUCAGAAAGCAAUAUCCAAAGUAUAGCGUUUUGACAUGAGGAACUGAAGGCUCCAAUGUAUACAUGUUACGUAAAUUUGCAUGCCUUUUCUCCUAUUAAUCAAUCUGCCUCAUGCCAGUGAUUUUUCAGCAAGGGGGCUAAAAGCCUAUGACCCCCACACCUAUUAUGCGCUAGGUUCUAGCCAGAGAGUCAUCAAUCAGAUAAUCUGGUCCAAUGACUGAUUACAGAAGUUCUCUCCUAGUCACCCAUUAGUGAUCCAACUGGUACCAGGCUGCCUUAUGUCCAACAAGAAGGGCUACAUUCCAACUCAACUUCCCUUGGACCAAAGGUCCCCAAGGUCUUUCAUGGCCAGGUAGCUGGCUUAUAUUACCAACUACCCUAAACAAUAU
rnacentral:lncRNA from 1 species